AGAGUUUGAUCCUGGCUCAGGAUGAACGCUGGCGGCGUGGAUAAGGCAUGCAAGUCAUACGGGACGUAAAGUUUUGCGCAAGCAAAAUUGUACGUUCAGUGGCGAACCGGUUAGUAACACGUGGGUACUUACCCUAUACACGGGCAUAACCAGUCGGAAGAUUGGCUAAUUCCCGAUAGUCCCCGGCCCGCAAGGGCAUAGGGGUAAAGGAGCAAUCCGGUAUAGGAAAGGCCCGCGGCCUAUCAGCUAGUUGGUAAGGUAAUGGCCUACCAAGGCGAUGACGGGUAGGGGAGAUGAGAGUCUGUUCCCCAACAAGGACACUGCGACAUGGGUCCUACUCCUACGGGAGGCAGCAGUCGAGAAUAUUGGUCAAUAGGGGAAACCCUGAACCAGCGACGCCGCGUGCAGGAAGAAAGGCUUCGGUCUGUAAACUGCUUUUCUGGAGGAUGACUCCCGCAAGGGAAGACAGUACUCCAGGAAUAAGGGGGUGCCAAUUCUGUGCCAGCAGCCGCGGUAAGACAGAACCCCCAAGCGUUAUCCGGAUUUAUUGGGCGUAAAGGGUCCGUAGGCGCCCCACCAAGUUUUCUGUUAAACCUCCUGGGCUCAACCUAGGAGCUGCAGAAAAAACUGGCGGGGUAGAGGGCAUUAGAGGUGGAUGGAACGGUCGGUGUAGGGGUGAAAUCCGUUGAUAUCGACCGGAACACCAAAGGCGAAGGCAUUCCACUGGGGUGGCCCUGACGCUGAGGGACGAUAGCGUGGGGAGCAAAAAGGAUUAGAUACCCUGGUAGUCC
rnacentral:rRNA from 1 species